AUUGAACGCUGGCGGCAGGCCUAACACAUGCAAGUCGAAUGGUAACAGGAAACAGCUUGCUGUUUCGCUGACGAGUGGCGGACGGGUGAGUAAUGUCUGGGAAACUGCCUGAUGGAGGGGGAUAACUACUGGAAACGGUAGCUAAUACCGCAUAACGUCGCAAGCCCAAAGAGGGGGACCUUCGGGCCUCUUGCCAUCAGAUGUGCCCAGAUGGGAGUAGCUAGUGGGUGGGGUAACGGCUCACCUAGGCGACGCUCCCUAGCUGGUCUGAGAGGAUGACCAGCCACACUGGGACUGAGACACGGUCCAGACUCCUACGGGAGGCAGCAGUGGGGAAUAUUGCACAAGGGGCGCAAGCCUGAUGCAGCCAUGCCGCGUGUAUGAAGAAGGCCUUCGGGUUGUAAAGUACUUUCAGCGGGGAGGAAGGGAGUAAAGUUAAUACCUUUGCUCAUUGACGUUACCCGCAGAAGAAGCACCGGCUAACUCCGUG
rnacentral:rRNA from 1 species